GACGAACGCUGGCGGCGUGCUUAACACAUGCAAGUCGAACGAAGUGGCGAACGGGUGAGUAACGCGUAAUCAACCUGCCCUUCAGAGGGGGACAACAGUUGGAAACGACUGCUAAUACCGCAUACUGAAGGAGGGGAUUGCGUCGUAUUAGCUAGUUGGAGGGGUAACGGCCCACCAAGGCGAUGAUCAGUAGCCGGUCUGAGGGGAUGAACGGCCACAUUGGGAACGAGACACGGCCCAAGCUCCUACGGGCGGCAGCAGGGGGGAAACUUCCGCAAUGGACGGAAGUCUGACGGAGCAACGCCGCGGGGGUGAUGACGGCCUUCGGGUUGUAAAGCUCUGUUAAUCGGGACGCGGUACCGGAAUAGAAAGCCACGGCUAACUACGUGCCAGCAGCCGCGGUAAUUC
rnacentral:rRNA from 1 species